rnacentral:rRNA from 1 species
ACUCUGGCGACGGGUGAGUAACUCGUGAGUAACCUGCCUCUGACUCUGGGAUUGGCCUUGGAAACGGGGUCUAAUACUGGAUACGAGACGCUCGGGCAUCCGAAGUGACUGGAAAGAUUUAUCGGUCAGAGAUGGACUCGCGGCCUAUCAGCUUGUUGGUGGGGUAAUGGCCUACCAAGGCGACGACGGGUAGCCGGCCUGAGAGGGCGACCGGCCACACUGGGACUGAGACACGGCCCAGACUCCUACGGGAGGCAGCAGUGGGGAAUAUUGCACAAUGGGCGCAAGCCUGAUGCAGCGACGCCGCGUGAGGGAUGACGGCCUUCGGGUUGUAAACCUCUUUCAGCAGGGAAGAAGCGAAAGUGACGGUACCUGCAGAAGAAGCGCCGGCUAACUACGUGCCAGCAGCCGCGGUAAUACGUAGGGCGCAAGCGUUGUCCGGAAUUAUUGGGCGUAAAGAGCUCGUAGGCGGUUUGUCGCGUCUGGUGUGAAAACUCAAGGCUCAACCUUGAGCUUGCAUCGGGUACGGGCAGACUAGAGUGCGGUAGGGGAGACUGGAAUUCCUGGUGUAGCGGUGGAAUGCGCAGAUAUCAGGAGGAACACCGAUGGCGAAGGCAGGUCUCUGGGCCGCAACUGACGCUGAGGAGCGAAAGCAUGGGGAGCGAACAGGAUUAGAUACCCUGGUAGUCCAUGCCGUAAACGUUGGGCACUAGGUGUGGGGCUCAUUCCACGAGUUCCGUGCCGCAGCAAACGCAUUAAGUGCCCCGCCUGGGGAGUACGGCCGCAAGGCUAAAACUCAAAGAAAUUGACGGGGGCCCGCACAAGCGGCGGAGCAUGCGGAUUAAUUCGAUGCAACGCGAAGAACCUUACCAAGGCUUGACAUACACCGGAAACUUCCAGAGAUGGUUGCCCCGCAAGGUCGGUGUACAGGUGGUGCAUGGUUGUCGUCAGCUCGUGUCGUGAGAUGUUGGGUUAAGUCCCGCAACGAGCGCAACCCUCGUCCUAUGUUGCCAGCGGGUUAUGCCCGGGAACUCAUAAGAAGACUGCCGGGGGUCAACUCGGAAGAAAGGUGGGGAUGACGUCAAAUCAUCAUGCCCCCUUAUGUCUUGGGGCUUCAGCCAGGCUACAAUGGCCCGGGU